UGAAAGUUCAGUCAGUAGUAGCGUGGGCAGUCGCAGAGCUCGUUUCACAUUACCCGAAAUGCCAAGAUCUUUUUCAGCAGCAUAAUAUAGUCCGGUUACUAGUUAGUCAUCUCGCGUUUGAGACAGUCCAAGAGCAUAGCAAGUAUGCUAUUGUCAGCAAAGCCACUUCGAUUCACGCUGUUGUUUUGGCUAGUAAUAACAACAGUAAUGUGAACAAGGGGAACGAGGAUGAUGGAAAGAUUCGUGUACCACAUCCAUUAGGGAAUAAUAAGUCUAAUCAGAUGCACAACGUCAUAACCACCACUAUGUCGAUGAAGGGUCUAACGAAAACCCCUCAGGAAAAUCUUGUCAAUGGCGUGAACCAGACGUUGAAUCAGCUGAGCAAAGUGAACGGAAAUAACAACGUGAUGAAGCAGCAGCAUCAGAAUCAGAACAGUGUUUGUUCAGCCGGGGCGAGUAAUAAAGGAAGGGAAAAUGAGGAUCCUGCUACCAAGGCUUAUAUGAAGGCGAUGGCUGCACGAGCAUUAUGGAAACUUUCCAAAGGAAAUUCCUCAAUUUGUCGUAGCAUUACUGAAUCACGAGCACUGCUUUGCUUCGCGGUACUCCUGGACAAAGGAACAGAUGAUGUUAAAUACAAUUCAUCGAUGGCCAUAAUGGAAAUCACAGCAGUGGCAGAACAAGAUGCUGAUUUGAGACGGUCAGCGUUCAAGCCUAACACAACAGCCUGCAAAGCUGUUGUUGAUCAA
rnacentral:misc_RNA from 1 species